ensembl:lncRNA
AGAAACUCACAGUUUGCAACAGCCUGAGGGUGAGUAAAUGCUGAUAAAAUGUUCAUUUUGGGGUGAACUAUCCCUUUAAACCAGUUAAAUCAGCUUGAAGCCUAACUCUAAAAUCUGACUGGUUGAUAGCAAUGUUUCACCAAACACUGGUUGGUAACGUUACCAAGCCUUCUCUACUCUCUUUUUUUGGGAGGUUGUGUUCUGUUAGAGAGCCAUGGGCAUUCUUCAAUAUUUAAUCAAGGGUGUGUUUGAAGAUCUGUCUGUGUGUGAGAGCAGUAACUGGAGAGGAGAAGGUUUAAGAUGAAAGACUUUCUUCACUCUCUUUUCUCACUUUCACAUGCAGACGCUCUUCUGUGGACUCAGCAUCAGACGGGACGCCCGCUGUCCGCCCGCUGACCGUCUGAUGCACGCUUCACCUGAAACACAAGCACUUUCUCAAUCUAGUAAACUCUAAUGUGACUGGCUGACUUUAUGGAGCUUCCAAGAAAGCUCCCAGGGUUUUUCUCCAGUCUGUUUGGAAAAGUUGUGUUGACUGAGGAUCAAAUCUUUCAAGAAUGAAAUCAUCGCUGGAUUUACCAAAGUUUGCGAGCAUGGGACUCUGAACACAUUAAACAGACCUGCGGCGUCACACACCUCACAGAGCUCUGAGCUGCUGUCAUCAGAUCACAUGACCUCAGCGCUGAGAGGAAACGACCGGUGUGUAAAUACUUCAACGCAGGGAUUAACUGAAAAUUCACAGAGUAUUUUAAAUCAUGAUAAACCUUUCUAAGAAUAGACUCUCAGCGUUUGAACACAGCAGAACAUCACAACAGACAGAAAAACACACAGACACGUCUCCCAGGGGA